rnacentral:rRNA from 1 species
GGGUGUGAUCAUACCAGCACUAAUGCACCGGGUGCCAUAAAAACUCCACAGUUAAGUGCGGUUGGGCAAGAGUAGUACGAGGAUGGGUGACCUCCUGGGAAGUCCUCGUGUUGCACCCC